GGAACCGGGAGAGGUAAGAGGUACUACAGGGGUAGGAGUGAAAUCUUGUAAUCCCUGUGGGACCACCUGUGGCGAAGGCGUCUUACCAGAACGGGUUCGACGGUGAGGGACGAAAGCUGGGGGCACGAACCGGAUUAGAUACCCGGGUAGUCCCAGCCGUAAACGAUGCUCGCUAGGUGUCAGGCAUGGCGCGACCGUGUCUGGUGCCGCAGGGAAGCCGUGAAGCGAGCCACCUGGGAAGUACGGCCGCAAGGCUGAAACUUAAAGGAAUUGGCGGGGAGCACAACAACGGGUGGAGCCCUGCGGUUUAAUUGGACUCAACGCCGGACAACUCACCGGGGGCGACAGCAAUAUGUAGGCCAAGCUGAAGACUUUGCCUGAAUCGCUGAGAGUGGAGGUGCAUGG
rnacentral:rRNA from 1 species